UAAGGAAUAUUGGUCAAUGGAGGCAACUCUGAACCAGCCAUGCCGCGUGCAGGAAGACAGCCCUCUGGGUCGUAAACUGCUUUUAUUCGGGAAUAAACCUAUCUACGUGUAGAUAGCUGAAUGUACCGAAGGAAUAAGGAUCGGCUAACUCCGUGCCAGCAGCCGCGGUAAUACGGAGGAUCCAAGCGUUAUCCGGAUUUAUUGGGUUUAAAGGGUGCGUAGGCGGCUUAUUAAGUCAGGGGUGAAAGACGGUGGCUCAACCAUCGCAGUGCCCUUGAUACUGAUGAGCUUGAAUACACUAGAGGUAGGCGGAAUGUGACAAGUAGCGGUGAAAUGCAUAGAUAUGUCACAGAACACCGAUUGCGAAGGCAGCUUACUAUGGUGUGAUUGACGCUGAGGCACGAAAGCGUGGGGAUCAAACA
rnacentral:rRNA from 1 species